rnacentral:rRNA from 1 species
UGCGCAGGCGGGGAAAUAAGUCAGUGGUGAAAAGCUGCCGCUUAACGGUAGUCUUACCAAUGAUACUGUUUUUCUUGAGUAUGGUUAAGGUAGGCGGAAUGUGCAGUGUAGCGGUGAAAUGCAUAGAGAUUGCACAGAAGGCCGAUUGCGGAGGCAGCUUACUGAGCCAUAACUGACGCUGAGGCACGAAAGCGUGGGGAUCGAACAGGAUUAGAUACCCUGGUAGUCC